GGGGAAUAUUGCACAAUGGGCGCAAGCCUGAUGCAGCCAUGCCGCGUGUAUGAAGAAGGCCUUCGGGUUGUAAAGUACUUUCAGCGAGGAGGAAGGCAUUGUGGUUAAUAACCGCAGUGAUUGACGUUACUCGCAGAAGAAGCACCGGCUAACUCCGUGCCAGCAGCCGCGGUAAUACGGAGGGUGCAAGCGUUAAUCGGAAUUACUGGGCGUAAAGCGCACGCAGGCGGUCUGUCAAGUCGGAUGUGAAAUCCCCGGGCUCAACCUGGGAACUGCAUUCGAAACUGGCAGGCUAGAGUCUUGUAGAGGGGGGUAGAAUUCCAGGUGUAGCGGUGAAAUGCGUAGAGAUCUGGAGGAAUACCGGUGGCGAAGGCGGCCCCCUGGACAAAGACUGACGCUCAGGUGCGAAAGCGUGGGGAGCAAAC
rnacentral:rRNA from 1 species